rnacentral:rRNA from 1 species
AUUGAACGCUGGCGGCAGGCCUAACACAUGCAAGUCGAACGAGUCGCGGACGGGUGAGUAAUGUCUGGGAAUCCGACUGUGGGGGGGGGAUAUACAAGGGAAACGAUAUCAAACACCGCAUACCAGCAGUUGUGCCCAGAUGGGAUUCGCUUGUUGGUGGGGUAACGGCUCACCAAGGAGACGAUCCCUAGCUGGUCUGAGAGGAUGACCAGCCACACUGGAACUGAGACACGGUCCAUACUCCUACGGGAGGCAGCAGUGGGGAAUAUUGCACAAUGGGCGCAAGCCUGAUGCAGCCAUGCCGCGUGUAUGAAGAAGGCCUUCGGGUUGUAAAGUACUUUCAGCGGGGAGGCGUUACCCGCAGAAGAAGCACCGGCUAACUCCGUGCCAGCAGCCGCGGUAAUAC